rnacentral:snoRNA from 1 species
CUGUGGCCAUUGAAGCCAAACGGGUUCCUCUACCGGUAGGUGCCCAGUGUGCGGUGGCUGUGAACAGCGAUCUCCUUGGUAGUGCGUGUGGCCUUGAAGACACUG